CAAGAUAUAUAGGAUAAAAUGUGGGAAAUGUUGCGUUUUGCUGAGGAAAAAGAUUGAUAUUUUCAUCGAACAAGCAGACUGAAAGAGAACUGCUUGAUGAGCCUCGUGGGCUGUGUUAAAGCUUAAUGAAAAUAUCUGAUGCUUAAUGAUUAAAAUUUGUUGGUUACACUUAUCAAAAUUUCUUGAUUCUUACAGCAACGAAGACCAGUUGCAUUGCUACAGCUCAAAUGGGCAUGUUGAAUG
rnacentral:misc_RNA from 1 species